rnacentral:rRNA from 1 species
GAUGAACGCUGGCGGCGUGCUUAACACAUGCAAGUCGAACGAAGCACUUUAUUUGAUUUCCUUCGGGACUGAUUAUAUUGUGACUGAGUGGCGGACGGGUGAGUAACGCGUGGGUAACCUGCCUUGUACAGGGGGAUAACAGUUGGAAACGGCUGCUAAUACCGCAUAAGCGCACAGCAUCGCAUGAUGCAGUGUGAAAAACUCCGGUGGUAUAAGAUGGACCCGCGUUGGAUUAGCUAGUUGGUGAGGUAACGGCCCACCAAGGCGACGAUCCAUAGCCGACCUGAGAGGGUGACCGGCCACAUUGGGACUGAGACACGGCCCAAACUCCUACGGGAGGCAGCAGUGGGGAAUAUUGCACAAUGGGCGAAAGCCUGAUGCAGCGACGCCGCGUGAGCGAAGAAGUAUUUCGGUAUGUAAAGCUCUAUCAGCAGGGAAGAUAAUGACGGUACCUGACUAAGAAGCACCGGCUAAAUACGUG